UCAAACUUCAUUGCUUACAUAUUUGCGCCGGGUGUACUCGUGACUCCACUUGGGGCGUUAAGCAUAAUCGUAAGUUCAGUGUUGGCGCACUUUGUGCUCAAGGAGCGGCUUGAGAAGCUCGGGGUCCUUGGCUGUGUGUCGUGCAUAGUAGGUUCAGUUGUUGUUGUCAUGCAUGCUCCUGGAGAGCAUAUGCCUAACUCUGUCAAGGAAAUCUAGAACCUAGCUACUCAACCAGGGUUUCUAGCAUAUGUGGUGACAGCAUUGUUACUUGUGGGAGCGCUAGUGCUCUUCUUUGAACCUCGAUACGGUUAGACUAACAUCCUGAUAUAUCUGGGUAUCUGCUCUUCAAUGGGAUCGCUAACGGUAAGUGUGCUUUGAGUGGCUGACGUACAGAUUAACUGUAGGAAUAUUCAGUUACUAAGCUUUCCUGACUCUGCAGGUCGUGAGCAUCAAAGCCAUUGGUGUUGCCAUAAAGCUUACGUUGGAUGGGGUGAAUCAGGCUGCUUAUCCAUACACAUGGCUUUUUCUUAAUUGUUUGUGGGGUUUCUCAAAUAAAUUACCUGAACAAGGUAUGGACAUCC